AGAGUUUGAUCAUGGCUCAGAUUGAACGCUGGCGGCAUGCCUUACACAUGCAAGUCGAACGGCAGCGCGGGGCAACCUGGCGGCGAGUGGCGAACGGGUGAGUAAUAUAUCGGAACGUACCCUGGAGUGGGGGAUAACGUAGCGAAAGUUACGCUAAUACCGCAUACGAUCUAAGGAUGAAAGUGGGGGAUGCGCAAGCACCUCAUGCUCCUGGAGCGGCCGAUAUCUGAUUAGCUAGUUGGUGGGGUAAAGGCCUACCAAGGCAUCGAUCAGUAGCUGGUCUGAGAGGACGACCAGCCACACUGGAACUGAGACACGGUCCAGACUCCUACGGGAGGCAGCAGUGGGGAAUUUUGGACAAUGGGCGAAAGCCUGAUCCAGCAAUGCCGCGUGAGUGAAGAAGGCCUUCGGGUUGUAAAGCUCUUUUGUCAGGGAAGAAACGGUGAGGGCUAAUAUCCCUUGCUAAUGACGGUACCUGAAGAAUAAGCACCGGCUAACUACGUGCCAGCAGCCGCGGUAAUACGUAGGGUGCAAGCGUUAAUCGGAAUUACUGGGCGUAAAGCGUGCGCAGGCGGUUUUGUAAGUCUGUCGUGAAAUCCCCGGGCUCAACCUGGGAAUUGCGAUGGAGACUGCAAGGCUAGAAUCUGGCAGAGGGGGGUAGAAUUCCACGUAGCAGUGAAAUGCGUAGAGAUGUGGAGGAACACCGAUGGCGAAGGCAGCCCCCUGGGUCAAGAUUGACGCUCAUGCACGAAAGCGUGGGGAGCAAACAGGAUUAGAUACCCUAGUAGUCC
rnacentral:rRNA from 1 species